rnacentral:lncRNA from 1 species
GCAUUUUCCAAGAUAUAUAGUUAUUUUUGAGAUGAAUUCUUAGAAAUGAAUUACAGAUUUUCAUUUUUUAACAUAUUUGAGAGGAUAACUAUAAUAAAUACAGUGAAGAGGUCAGUUACUUUUCUUCAGACAAUACAAGCCAUUUCCAUCAGUAGAACUUUUUAUUAUAUUAAAUGGAAAUUCACUUCUCUCACAAAAUGCUACAAUAUACAUAGUAAAACAUUAAUGAUAAUUCAAAUACAUAUGGCUAUUUAAAGAUAUUGAAUCAUCUCAGAAUGUCAAGACCUAAUGUUUCUGAGGAUAAGCACAUGACAUUGAAGUCGCUCUGGCUGAAGGAAAAAGCAUAAAUCAAAGGUGGAGAAUGAAAGGUAAAAAGUAAAAUAAAGUGAUCACUGGAUAAGUUGACUGACUUUAAAUACUGGCUGAAGUCAAGAUUAAACUUGCCUUGCAUUCACUGAUGUUGCCACAAAGACGACCACUUCAAUAGUAAUCUCAGUGUCUAUCAGAGUGGGAUAAGAGUAACGGGUUAGAAAAAUAUAUUUUUAUAUUGUUGGAACUUCAGUAUUUGUCAAAAUUUGAAGUUCUUUAUCAAUGUUUUCACUUUUUUUGUACACUUACU